GCCGCCCCGCGCUUCCUCCUCCAGUAUGAGCAGCCUGGGGGGCGUCGGCGGCGGCGGCGGCGGCGGCGGCGGCGGCGGCGGCGGCGGCGUC
rnacentral:miRNA from 1 species